CAUAGCAGAAAGUAACAACAGAUGGGAUCUCGUAAUUCAUUUUCAAUGACGAACGCAUCAUUUUUUUUUAAUUUCAAUGCUAAUAAUGAUAUGGGGCACGUGUUCCGUGGUUAGCACGUGUGCCUCACAGGUCUGAGGGUCAGGGUCAGGGUCUGGGUCUGGACCGGGACCACGACCACGACCCAAACCUCUUUCAUCGGGGUUUUGGAAGACAUUUGAUUUCACAGGUUGUCCAAAUAAUAACGGGCCCAGCCACCCACCAGUGCCCGCCACGCCUGACGUCGUACGCGCCGCCUGGGGCUGAGCCUGGCGUGCUGCAGAGAAACGCCGGCGAGCGUUCUGUCACACUCAUUGAGAAGUCUUUGCAACGAAUCCAAGCCACGUGAGGAUAUCGAGAAGGGCGCCGUGUUGGUCGGCGAAUGAGAAGACACUAACGACGCUAGCAUGCUGCUUUUGCCAUAAUGCGUAACUGGUGAGUUCUUCCGGGGUGUUCCGACCAUUAAAAGGUGCUGAUGAGGUAUAGUCGC